rnacentral:rRNA from 1 species
GACGAACGCUGGCGGCGUGCCUAAUACAUGCAAGUAGAACGCUGAAGGAGGAGCUUGCUUCUCUGGAUGAGUUGCGAACGGGUGAGUAACGCGUAGGUAACCUGCCUGGUAGCGGGGGAUAACUAUUGGAAACGAUAGCUAAUACCGCAUAAUAGUAGAUGUUGCAUGACAUUUGCUUAAAAGGUGCAAUUGCAUCACUACCAGAUGGACCUGCGUUGUAUUAGCUAGUUGGUGGGGUAACGGCUCACCAAGGCGACGAUACAUAGCCGACCUGAGAGGGUGAUCGGCCACACUGGGACUGAGACACGGCCCAGACUCCUACGGGAGGCAGCAGUAGGGAAUCUUCGGCAAUGGACGGAAGUCUGACUGAGCAACGCCGCGUGAGUGAAGAAGGUUUUCGGAUCGUAAAGCUCUGUUGUAAGAGAAGAACGAGUGUGAGAGUGGAAAGUUCACACUGUGACGGUAUCUUACCAGAAAGGGACGGCUAACUACGUG